UAGAUACUCCCUCCGUUCGGAAUUACUUGUCUCGAAAAUAGAUGUAUCUAGAACUAAAAUACGUCUAGGUACAUCCAUUUCCGCGACAAGUAAUUCCGAACAGAGGGAGUAGAAC
rnacentral:pre_miRNA from 1 species